CCUACGGGAGGCAGCAGUGGGGAAUAUUGGACAAUGGGGGGAACCCUGAUCCAGCCAUGCCGCGUGUGUGAAGAAGGCCCUCGGGUUGUAAAGCACUUUCAGUGAGGAAGAACGCCUGGUGGUUAAUACCCAUCAGGAAAGACAUCACUCACAGAAGAAGCACCGGCUAACUCCGUGCCAGCAGCCGCGGUAAUACGGAGGGUGCGAGCGUUAAUCGGAAUUACUGGGCGUAAAGCGCGCGUAGGUGGCUUGAUAAGCCGGUUGUGAAAGCCCCGGGCUCAACCUGGGAGCGGCAUCCGGAACUGUCAAGCUAGAGUGCAGGAGAGGAAGGUAGAAUUCCCGGUGUAGCGGUGAAAUGCGUAGAGAUCGGGAGGAAUACCAGUGGCGAAGGCGGCCUUCUGGACUGACACUGACACUGAGGUGCGAAAGCGUGGGUAGCAAACAGGAUUAGAUACCCGUGUAGUC
rnacentral:rRNA from 1 species